rnacentral:lncRNA from 10 species
ACUUCCGGGGCAGUAGGAACGCCGAGUCGGCUGCCGUGGCUGUGCUGAGGGUGGCGGCCGGAUAGGGACCCAGAACUCCAUUUGACAGAUGAGGAAACGGAGAGGCAGACAGGUGACCUGACUUCCCCACAAUCGCUGCAGGACAGGAAGAAAGUAAACUCCAGAGCCCGUGCUCUUAGCUACUAAGCUGUACUGCUCUUCAUUUUGAUAAAGAUGAUAUUGAGACUCCACUGCUAACUGAAGCAGCCCCCAUCCUUGAAGAUGGAAACUGUGAGCCACCUGGGUGACAGAGUGAAACUCCGUCUCAAAUUAUGUGUGAUCGUUUUUCUUUCUGCAGCUCCUGAGCCCACCAGAUUUGAAUAGCAGUGCCAAGAAUGAAAGGGCAAUCCUCUGUACUCUAACCUGUCUAAGCUUUGCUUCCUUCAAUUCUCAGAACUCACCCUUGAGCUCUCAUUGUUUGCUACAGUGUAAUGCCUCCAUCUCUUUUUAGGUUUUACGAGAGGCGAAGGAGAAAGAAGAGAUACGGACCU